UUUUUUUUUUUUGAUUCUAUAAAGACUCAGAUACAUAUAUUUAGAUAUUAAUCCUAUUCUUAAUUUGUUUAUCAUAGCUUUGCUUAUCUUGGGCAUUUGGUGACUUUAAGAAAUACAUGUACCUCUUAACUCCUCAUUUCUCUGAAGCUGCUCUAAGUCUACUUGCUUCACAUUCCCUUCCCCCACACACAUACAGAAAUAUCAAUAUCCCUGAGUAAAACCAACCACUUAGACCCUACUGCAUCGUGGGCAAGAAAGGUAGUCAUCACUAAAGAUCUUUCCUUUGCUCUUGCAUGAUAUUUUUUAUGAAUUUUAAUUAUCAAUCCUCGAGAUUAAUUCAUUUCUUUUUUUGGCUAUUUCCCUACUAUGCCUAAAAAGGAUUUGAUCAAAUAAAUAGAGAUGGGCAAAUAAAAAGUACUACAGUUUGUGCCCCCUCUCACCCACCCCCACUCGCAUUCCCCUUUAUCCACAGAUGGGGAUAAUAAAGACAAAGGAUGUUAGGACAUACUUAGAAGAAAAGUGCAAAUUCCUACAAAUUAUCCACCUAGUGGAAGGAAACCUGAGAAUAUAUAAUAGAUAAAACACAGGUAAGUCAGAGUCAUGAUUCUGCUCAAGGGCUGUAACAAGAAGUUAGUUACUGAGUGAAUAGAAGCUAUGUAUCCCGUGCUCUGCUGUGGCAGGGUUGAGCCCUGGAUGUCAGCAAGUCUUAGUUUAGGGAUUGAAGCUCAGUCCUGAGCACAGGUAGCAAACACCUCCAUCUGUGGAUAAAUAGGAAUUUACUAAACUCCAGAGGAACUAGGAGCAAACUCUCUUUGAUAUAGCUUGGAAUAACUUGCAGUGAGUCAUUUGCUAAUGUAGUUACCAUUGAUGAGAACGUGCUUUUCCCAAGGAAGAUGCCAAGAGAAAACAGUCUACUUUAUGGUGAAUCUAGGAUAAGUGGAACUGAAAGGGACAUUGAAUCAGAUAACCUAUGCAAUUGUGCUUUCUUUACCUAAGGAAUUUUAUGGCAGAUAUCCUUCUAGGAGAGGAGAUGAAAGAAAAGCACUCAAUGCUGGUUAGGCUUUACUAGUUCAUCUUUGCACAAUAGCCACUUAAGUGAUGUUCAGGCCUUCCUAUUAAUUUAGUGCACUGCUGGUUUGAUGAAAUUUCAUGAAACUGUGCCCUCUUCAUUAGUCUAUUUAAAAAUUCCAUGGCUCCCUCAUCACCUAUCAGAUAAAACACCUUACUGUAGAACUUAUUCUGGCCCUUCCACCUGACAUUCCAGUAUUCCUUUCGGCAGUGGUAGGUCAGAGGUAGGGAGGACCCUUCAUUCCACCAAAUUCAUUAACUUUCUCUAUCUUGGACAAGCACUGCCCUUUCCUACCUUUGCAGGUGCUGUUUCUUCUAUCGGCAGUGUUCCUUCAUCCAAACUGAACUUUCCAAGACCCUACCCCUAUUUCAAAUCUUGCUCAUGAACAAGAUACUGUGCUAGGUACUAUGGCUGGAUACAAAGAAGUAUAAGAUAGAGCUGCUUGUGAGAAGCAUAGAGUUUGGUUGGGGAGAAAACAUGAACUAUGUACAAUUAAGUGAGAAAAAAUUAAUGAUAAUUCAAGACAACAAUGGAGAAAAUAAAAUAAGGCAGGACCUGAUUGUGAGAUGAUUUAUCCAGGCAAAAAUUUCUUUGAGGAUUUAAAGAAGGGAGACAUCAUUUUUGAUUAGGAACACUGAAGGUUGCCUUAUAGAGAUAGAAUUUAACCUGGAUCUUAAAUGAUAGAAUAUAUUUUUAUGGAAAUGGUGGAGUUUGCUGUAUGAAGGGAGUGUCAUGAGGAAUAUUAAAUUAUUUUCAUGUCCGAAGAGUAAACUGAUUUGAAAAGAAUGGAAAGUUCAUGUAAAGAAGUGGUAAGAGAUAAUACUUGAAGGAUAUUUGGUGGCUCACUGUUUAGGAUCUUUCAUGGCAGGCUAAUUAGUGACAAUUUUAUCCUGAAAGCAGUUGAGAAGAAUUAAAGAUUCUUGAGCAAAAAAAAGAUAUGGUCAAAAUAGUCUUUUAGGAAGACAUAUCUGAAAGUGUCACACUAGGGGAAGAGCCUAGAAGUGGUUAGACCUCUUUGAAAGCUAUUACAGUAGUCCAGGUAUGAAAUAAGUGCCUCUGUUUUAAGAUUUAACCCUCUAUAUUAUAAUUAGUUGUUUAUUUAUUAUUAAUCUAGAUCGUGAAUGCCUCCACAACAGGGGCUCAAUCCUCUGUCUUUUCAGCACCCAGUACACUCCAGAUGCACAUGAAUAUUUGCACAGCUCAGAUGAAUAACUGAAAUGAAAAUAUGGAGAGAUUAUAAAGGAUCUAUCAGCAGAAUUGGUGACCGAUUAGAGGAAUGAGGAACAAAAUGAAUCAAAGACUGUUUGUGAAGUUAGAAGGCUGAUGGUACUACUAACAGGAAUAGAGAAGUUGGGAAAGGGAGCCAGAUUUUAAGGGAAGAGGGUAAUUUCUAUUUAGAUAUAUUGAGUUUGAGGUGACUAGUACACAUCUGGAUAGAAAUAUAGUUCUGAUGAUUGGAAAUGAAGUCACAGGUAGAGAGCAGCAUCUGGGAGCCAUCUAGAGAAGAAAGAUUGUUGAAGCAUUUGUAGGUUAUCUACUGUUGAGAGACUGUCAAGAAAAAGUGGAGAGCAGGGACUGAAUCUUGAAGAACACCAAAGUAUUCCCUGCGAGACAAGCAAGAAUGGGUGCAAAUGGUUUAUGGAAACAUUGUGGGAGAAAUACUUAAAAUUCAGAGAAUUUUAUUUAUUAAAAUUUAUUUUAUUUGAAAAUUUAGACAGGGUCACCACUGUUCAAAUCUUGCAGUGCAAGACCUGAAUUCACGUAGUUUGGCAUCCAAAACUAGAGAACAUAUAAUCAAGUAAUGUGAACUUAUACAAAUAUAUUACUUGGAAAUCAAAGAAAUGUGAAUAAUUAGGCCUGGUUUUAUGGAAGCAGAUGAAUUGAAAUUGGUAUUGAAGGUUACCUAAGAUUUGGCAGAUAGGUGAAAACCAUUAGCAAAGACAGACACAGAGGAAUUAAUAUGGCCCGUUUAAGAUCAGAGAUCAUCUGACUAAGGCAAUUUGUUGGAAAGUGUUGGCAGAAAAGAGUGACUCUGUAAGGUGGGGGCUAGGUGAUAUUUUUUCAAUGCCUGAUUGUCUAUCUUUAAGAUUUCUGGGAAGGUAAUUACAUUAAGAAAGUACUGUUUGAGGGAGAUUAAUCUGGUAAUGGUAAGCAGGAUAGCUUUAAGCAGAGAGAGACAGGAGUCAGUGAGAUUAGUUAGGAGGGUCCUGCCGUAAUCUACAUGAGAAAAUACAAAAUCCUGGACUAGAGUGGUAUAUGGUAGUGGAAAUAAAGAGAACAAAAUGAAGUCAACGUUCAAAGAGAGACUUGACAGUGUUUGGUGGCUAAAGGGGUACCAAUCAACAUUACAGGCUUCUCCCGUUUCUGCUACUUUCACUAGUAAAUGAGGUCCACUGUAAAGAUUUUUUGUUUUUUGUGCAGCGCCGCAUGCAUAUUUGGUCCUCAGUAAAUGAUUAAGUUCUCAUCUUUAUUAGAGGCUUAAAUAUUUCUAUGUUUUCAAUACUUUCAAUGCUUUCUAUUAAUGUCUAUUUUGGAAUAAAACCCAAAUUAGUCUUAAAAGACCCUGGCAUAAUCAAGGAUCAGAUCUUUUGAAAAAAGAUUUUAGAGAUGAACAGUGAAAUUAUGUAUGAAUAAAUCAGAUUUACCCAGAAUUAUAUUUGAAACAUACUAAUAAAGUCAGUUAUAGAAAAAGUUUAGAUAAAGGUCUUAGAGCAUCUCUGUAAAUUAGAAGAUCUGUUGUCUUCCAGAGUUGAAGACAAAAUAUUAUUCACCAAAAUGAAGCUAUGAGAUUAAGAAAAUCUCAUAAAUAACUAGAUUGAAAUGUUCAAAACAGUAACUUUAUGCUGACCAAUGCUUUUUAUCUAUUUUUGUCUCAUAGAAUUGGCCUAAGUAGUUAUCUUUCCACUUAGGUGUACUGAAGAUUGCUUUAUGAGGAUAGAAGGGCAGGUUUUCUUUUUUUUUUUAAGACUGUUCUUUUAGAGCAGUUUUAGGUUCACAGCAAAAUUAAGAGAAAGUUACAGAGAUUUUCCUGUGUACCCUUGUCCCCACAAAUGCAUAGUCUCCCCCCAUUAUCAGUACCCCCACCAGAGUAAUAUAUUUGUUACAGUCGAUGAACUUACACUAACACAUCAUAAUCACCCCAAGUACAUAGUACAGUAGGACUCAUUCUUAAUGUUGUAUAUUUUGUGGGUUUGGACAAAUGUGUAAUGACAUGUACCCACCCUUACAGUAUCAUACAUAAUAUUUUCACUGCCCUAAAAACCUUUGUGCUCUGCUUAUUCAACCAUCCCCCUAAGGGUGGGUUAUUUUUUGGAGGGUUUUUUGUCACUUUUUAAUUCAAGGAAUCAGUGGUAGAUAUUCUUUAUAGCUUAAUUCCUAUUUUGUUCAAAUUUUUUCACCAUUACGUUAAGCAAGUAACUUUUCUCCUUCUUCACCACAUUGCCUCACCCCUCUUUGUUUCUUGAUUAUAAUGUUCUUAAUAGCAUUAGCAUUCCAGGAUUGAGAGUUUUCUUUGAUGGGGUUUUGUUUGCAGUAAAUUAUCCCCCAAAGAGUAUGAUUUAAUUCUCUUUAAAAUAUGAAGAAUCAUGUGCACUUGUUAAAGUUCUUUGAGUUAUUUUUAGGAAGAAGUAAGAAAAUUGAAGUCUCCAUGAUUGUUUACCUUAUUUUUCUUCAUUACAAUCCAUUAUACAAAACACAAGGAGAACAGGAUAGCAUGCGUGGUGAUUAAAAGUAUAGCCUCUAGGGCUUCCCUGGUGGCGCAGUGGUUGAGAGUCCGCCUGCCGAUGCAGGGGACACGGGUUCGUGCCCCGGUCCGGGAAGAUCCCACAUGCCGCGGAGCGGCUGGGCCCGUGAGCCAUGGCCGCUGAGCCUGCGCGUCCGGAGCCUGUGCUCCGCAACGGGAGAGGCCCCA